GACGAACGCUGGCGGCGUGCUUAACACAUGCAAGUCGAACGGAAAGGCCCUGCUUUUGUGGGGUGCUCGAGUGGCGAACGGGUGAGUAACACGUGAGUAACCUGCCCUUGACUUUGGGAUAACUUCAGGAAACUGGGGCUAAUACCGGAUAGGAGCUCCUGCUGCAUGGUGGGGGUUGGAAAGUUUCGGCGGUUGGGGAUGGACUCGCGGCUUAUCAGCUUGUUGGUGGGGUAGUGGCUUACCAAGGCUUUGACGGGUAGCCGGCCUGAGAGGGUGACCGGACACAUUGGGACUGAGAUACGGCCCAGACUCCUACGGGAGGCAGCAGUGGGGAAUAUUGCACAAUGGGCGGAAGCCUGAUGCAGCAACGCCGCGUGCGGGAUGACGGCCUUCGGGUUGUAACCCGCUUUCGCCUGUGACGAAGCGUGAGUGACGGUAAUGGGUAAAGAAGCACCGGCUAACUACGUG
rnacentral:rRNA from 1 species